AUUGAACGCUGGCGGCAGGCCUAACACAUGCAAGUCGAGCGGAUGAGAGGAGCUUGCUUCUCGAUUCAGCGGCGGACGGGUGAGUAAUGCCUAGGAAUCUGCCUGGUAGUGGGGGACAACGUUUCGAAAGGAACGCUAAUACCACAUACGUCCUACGGGAGAAAGCAGGGGACCUUCGGGCCUUGCGCUAUCAGAUGAGCCUAGGUUGGAUUAGCUAGUUGGUGAGGUAAUGGCUCACCAAGGCGACGAUCCGUAACCGGUCUGAGAGGAUGAUCAGUCACACUGGAACUGAGACACGGUCCAGACUCCUACGGGAGGCAGCAGUGGGGAAUAUUGGACAAUGGGCGAAAGCCUGAUCCAGCCACGCCGCGUGUGUGAAGAAGGUCUUCGGAUUGUAAAGCACUUUAAGUUGGGAGGAAGGGUUGUAGAUUAAUACUCUGCAAUUUUGACGUUACCGACAGAAUAAGCACCGGCUAACUCUGUGCCAGCAGCCGCCGCGGUA
rnacentral:rRNA from 1 species